AGUACGGCGGAACACGAGAAAUUCCGUCGGAAUCCGCGGGGACCAUCCCGCAAGGCUAAAUACUCCCUAGUGACCGAUAGUGAACCAGUACCGUGAGGGAAAGGUGAAAAGCACCCCGGAAGGGGAGUGAAAUAGAUCCUGAAACCGUGUGCCUACAACAAGUCAAAGCUCGUUAAUGAGUGAUGGCGUGCCUUUUGUAGAAUGAACCGGCGAGUUACGAUUGCAUGCGAGGUUAAGUCGAAGAGACGGAGCCGCAGCGAAAGCGAGUCUGAAUAGGGCGAAUGAGUAUGUAGUCGUAGACCCGAAACCAUGUGAUCUACCCAUGUCCAGGUUGAAGGUGCGGUAAAACGCACUGGAGGACCGAACCCACGUACGUUGAAAAGUGCGGGGAUGAGGUGUGGGUAGCGGAGAAAUUCCAAACGAACUUGGAGAUAGCUGGUUCUCUCCGAAAUAGCUUUAGGGCUAGCCUCGGAAUUGAGAAUGAUGGAGGUAGAGCACUGUUUGGACUAGGGGCCCAUCUCGGGUUACCGAAUUCAGAUAAACUCCGAAUGCCAUUCAUUUAUAUCCGGGAGUCAGACUGCGAGUGAUAAGAUCCGUAGUCGAAAGGGAAACAGCCCAGACCACCAGCUAAGGUCCCAAAAUAUAUGUUAAGUGGAAAAGGAUGUGGGGUUGCACAGACAACUAGGAUGUUGGCUUAGAAGCAGCCACCAUUUAAAGAGUGCGUAAUAGCUCACUAGUCGAGUGACCCUGCGCCGAAAAUGUACCGGGGCUAAACAUAUUACCGAAGCUGUGGACUACACCAUUAGGUGUAGUGGUAGGAGAGCGUUCUAAGGGCGU
rnacentral:rRNA from 1 species